GAUUUCCAAGGCGUUCGGUGCAGGUAAGCAACUUAUUGGUCGACAGACACAGAAUGUUGAGGUGAGUGUCAUCAUUGACCCCUGAUGAAGGAAGAAUCAAAUGCCGAAGUCAAGAUGUCCUAGUUGCCUUGCGUGUAAAGGCCCAGCUUUCACUACCCGUUGAAGCCUUGCUCGAAACGCGACGCCUCGACGACCACUUAGCUAAACUAUCCGAAACAAAAGAGCCCUCUGGUAUUUCCUAUCGAUAAGUUGUCGUGGUAGUUUCAAUGCAAGGAGUUAAAUGAUGCUAAAUGUCUGACACACGACAAGACAAGACCACCGUCAAAGAAUACGAGAGGAAUGGGCUGGCGGAACAAGCGUUAACAGUCAUACGCCAGAACCCUUCAAGAUGCCUUCAUUUCUGCACCGUUACAGCUACAGCCCUCGAAUACUAAAUAUCUAUAUGAUCCACGAGAGGUCAACGAGCCUUUUUCUUAGUUUGAUGUUUUGGAAAUAAACUUCGUUAAGGGAUUUCUACAAAACGUGAUCGAAGCGGUAAUGGGACUACUAGAUUGUUUAUCCUGAGCCAUAAACGUCUCUAUAAAAUGAUCUUUAUCAGGUCAUUAGGCUUUGAAGAAUGAAGAUCGCUUACACAUACCCUCCCUUAGAAGAUCCUUCGCCAAAGCGGACAAGCUGUUAUGAGAGGAGUGAAAAGCAGGAAAUAGCCCGAUAAGGCUUGCGAUAGCACUGAGAUAACCUCUCGAACCUAUCCAAUAAAGCAGUCUUUUUAUAGCGACCAUCGCUCCACCAAAUAGAUUUCGAUGGAUUUGGAUUUGAAAUGGGUAAACCGACCUUAACUGCUAAUUCCAUAAUACCUGGCACAGCAAUGUGAGAUAAAUAUGAUCUCGACUGUACUAUCUCAGAUCAGUGAUUGUCACUCAGAGACGCAGCUACUGUGCCUGCAAGCCCUCCCGGACGCCAUAUUUUCACUCCAACACGCUAUCGUGAACUUAUGAAGGCAUCAUCAUGAUUCAUUUAAGUCUAACUUGCCCAAAUCCUAGUUAAUGAAGCUAUAUACUCUACUAAAUACUAGUAUCGACCCUCAAAAAAAGAGAGCGAUUUGUAAACGAAAUAAGAGGUCCUUGAACUCUCCUGGAUAAAUAAGCCCUAGCCUUUUUUAUGAAUGAUUUCUGUGUUUCCUCGUCUUUAAUAGGAAAGAGUCUAUCCCGUUUUUAUGAGUUCAAAGCUCUUGCAAGAUUGGAAUAAAAAAUUGAUUGAUCAAAAGAUUUUUAUUGUUCGUUUGAAGUCGCAUUUGGUUUCCGAGAAAAACCGUUCCUUGACUUAUUAUUAUCUCGUGUUUGUAUUCUCCAAGUAUAACGUCGAAUAAACGGCAUCGUAUCUCUG